UCGAAAAGUAAGGUAAAGAGGGAGUAACAUAUAAGGUUAUUUGUGAUCAUUUUUAAUAUUGGGUUACCCAAGAUUAUUAUUCAAAAUAGGCUGCAUUCAGUUAAUGAGUUAUAUAUGUGCAUAAGAAAUAGAACAGAAAGCAAGCAGACCCCUGUACAUAUGAUAUAGAGAAUUAUUAUGCAAGCACUGGGAUGCAAUUACACUGCAGACCUCAAAUUAUAUAUAGGCAGACAAUUUGUUACAAGAAAUUGUUUGAAAUGCAGAAACAUGAGAAGAAGCCAUUGAUGCAAGGUGAUGUGAAAUCUCUUCAAUCAUUAAUGCUUGCUCCGUGGGCAGGGCGUGGUUCACUCGGGUUAACCGCACCUACACGGGAUGCUAUAAAACUAUAUUUAUUUCCUUAUUGUAUAUAAUUAAUUCGUAACUAUAUUUAUUUUUUAUUACAUAUAAUUUCGUAACUAUUUUAUAUUUGAGUGGAACACUGAGGUUAAGCAAAAUUAAAAAUCGGACGUGAGUGAGUCAAUGGGACUUGAUAAAAUUAGUAAAAGUAUGCUAUGUUGAAAUAUGUUAACAAAUGGAUGAAAAUUUCGAAAAAGAAAGUGUUAACACGAGGAUGAGACAUAGGAAGCACGAGAGACUGAAAAUACCUAGACUAAGACAGGUGAAGCUGAUGAUUGAGAGUGAAGAGCAGUGAGGUGCGGUAAAUAGGCUGCCCCAAGCACAAGAGCGAGGAGCAACUAUACAAAGCUCGUCUGAAUAAAUGAUGCAGCCAUACUCAUACAAAGAUGUUUACCCACGUGGUCAUAUAAAUUGAAACGGAGGAAGUGUACAUUUAUCAACAAACAUGUUUGUAAAUGCUUUUCAAAUAAUAAUAUGUGAUCAUGCGUUUUUUGAUUUAUUUUAAAUUAUAUUUUUCAUUCAUAAAAAAAGAUAUUAUUUCUCAUAUUGACUUUCUGUGAGUUUGUUUUCGAGUAGAUAAUUUUGAAUAAAAAAAUUUUUAUAAUAAAUCUAUCUUUGUUUGAGAGUAGUUUGUCUUGUAGUAGAAUACAUUAGAGUAACGCUCUAUAGUUUGUGGUGAAUUUCCCGUAAAACAUGUUAUAGAUUUAUAGUUGAAAAAAAUGACUCUCAUCAUCAAUAUAAUUAUAUAUAUAUUUACAAAAUGAUAGGGAAUUAAGUCAUGCUGGAAUGAUAAAAAGUAUCAAAAACAAUUUGUCACUCCCAAUUAUCUCUAUCUACAAUUAUUAAAAUAUAGUAUAAAUUUCAUAAGUAUUUGGUGACCUUAAAUAUGAUUCUCCAUUCCUCCCACCAAGCGAGUUGGUGUGCCUCACAAAAUUAGUAAAAACAAAUAUGUUUUUUCUAAAAAAUGUAACUAACAAACAACAAGGGUACGAAAGUGUUAGCAAGCGGAUGGUUAUUGAGGAAGUACGAGAGGAUGAAAAUAC
rnacentral:lncRNA from 1 species